rnacentral:rRNA from 1 species
AGAGUUUGAUCCUGGCUCAGAACGAACGCUGGCGGCGCGCCUAACACAUGCAAGUCGAACGAGAAGGCGUAGCAAUACGCUUGUACAGUGGCGAACGGGUGAGGAACGCGUGGGUAACCUACCCCUGAGUGGGGAAUAACCCGCCGAAAGGCGGGCUAAUACCGCGUACGCUUCCUGGCCUGCGGGUCUGGAAGGAAAGCCAUACCGUGGGUGUGGCGCUCAGGGAUGGGCUCACGUCCUAUCAGCUUGUUGGUAGGGUAAUGGCCUACCAAGGCAACGACGGGUAGCUGGUCUGAGAGGAUGAUCAGCCACACUGGCACUGCGACACGGGCCAGACUCCUACGGGAGGCAGCAGUGAGGAAUAUUGCGCAAUGGGCGAAAGCCUGACGCAGCGACGCCGCGUGGGGGAUGAAGGUCUUCGGAUUGUAAACCCCUUUCGGGAGGGAAGAUGGGACGGGAAACCGUUCGGACGGUACCUCCAGAAGAAGCCACGGCUAACUUCGUGCCAGCAGCCGCGGUAAGACGAAGGUGGCAAGCGUUGUUCGGAUUUACUGGGCGUACAGGGUGCGUAGGCGGUUCGGUAAGCCCUUCGUGAAAUCUCCGGGCUUAACCCGGAAAGGUCGGAGGGGACUGCCGAGCUAGAGGACGGGAGAGGAGCGCGGAAUUCCCGGCGUAGCGGUGAAAUGCGUAGAGAUCGGGAGGAAGGCCGGUGGCGAAGGCGGCGCUCUGGAACGUUUCUGACGCUGAUGCACGAAAGCGUGGGGAGCAAACAGGAUUAGAUACCCUGGUAGUCCACGCCCUAAACGAUGGACACUAGGUGUCGGCGGAUUACCGCCGGUGCCGCAGCUAACGCAGUAGGUGUCCCGCCUGGGGAGUACGGCCGCAAGGUUGAAACUCAAAGGAAUUGACGGGGGCC